CAAAUUAAAGCUAUAGUAGCGUUAUUAUUUACAUUAAUAAUUCAGUUGUGCAAUUCAACUUAAUUUGA
rnacentral:tRNA from 1 species